rnacentral:rRNA from 1 species
AUUGAACGCUGGCGGCAGGCCUAACACAUGCAAGUCGAGCGGGGUUUUCGGACCUAGCGGCGGACGGGUGAGUAAUGCGUAGGAAGCUGCCCGAUAGAGGGGGAUACCAGUUGGAAACGACUGUUAAUACCGCAUAAUGUCUACGGACCAAAGUGUGGGACCUUCGGGCCACAUGCUAUCGGAUGCGCCUACGUGGGAUUAGCUAGUUGGUGAGGUAAUGGCUCACCAAGGCGACGAUCUCUAGCUGGUUUGAGAGGAUGAUCAGCCACACUGGAACUGAGACACGGUCCAGACUCCUACGGGAGGCAGCAGUGGGGAAUAUUGGACAAUGGGCGCAAGCCUGAUCCAGCCAUGCCGCGUGUGUGAAGAAGGCCUUUUGGUUGUAAAGCACUUUAAGCGAGGAGGAGGCUACUGGUAUUAAUACUACCAGCUAGUGGACGUUACUCGCAGAAUAAGCACCGGCUAACUCUGUGCCAGCCGCCGCAGUAAAAC